AAUGAACGUUGGCGGCAUGGAUUAGGCAUGCAAGUCGAGCGAGAAGCUGUCGAUGGAGAUUUCGAUCGAAGUCGAUGGUGGACAGCGGCGAAAGGGUGAGUAACGCGUAGUUACGUGCCCCAGGGUCUAGAAUAGCCUCGGGAAACUGAGGGUAAUGCUGGAUAAUAUCUCCGGAUCAAAGGUGAGAUUCCGCCCUGGGAGCGGACUGCGUACUACUAGCUUGUUGGCGGGGUAAUGGCCCACCAAGGCGACGAUGGUUAGCGGGCGUGAGAGCGUGGCCCGUCACACUGGGACUGAGACACUGCCCAGACACCUACGGGUGGCUG
rnacentral:rRNA from 1 species